GGUUAAGCGACUAAGCGUACACGGUGGAUGCCCUGGCAGUCAGAGGCGAUGAAGGACGUGCUAAUCUGCGAUAAGCGUCGGUAAGGUGAUAUGAACCGUUAUAACCGGCGAUUUCCGAAUGGGGAAACCCAGUGUGUUUCGACACACUAUCAUUAACUGAAUCCAUAGGUUAAUGAGGCGAACCGGGGGAACUGAAACAUCUAAGUACCCCGAGGAAAAGAAAUCAACCGAGAUUCCCCCAGUAGCGGCGAGCGAACGGGGAGCAGCCCAGAGCCUGAAUCAGUGUGUGUGUUAGUGGAAGCGUCUGGAAAGGCGCGCGAUACAGGGUGACAGCCCCGUACACAAAAAUGCACAUGCUGUGAGCUCGAUGAGUAGGGCGGGACACGUGGUAUCCUGUCUGAAUAUGGGGGGACCAUCCUCCAAGGCUAAAUACUCCUGACUGACCGAUAGUGAACCAGUACCGUGAGGGAAAGGCGAAAAGAACCCCGGCGAGGGGAGUGAAAAAGAACCUGAAACCGUGUACGUACAAGCAGUGGGAGCCUCUUUAUGGGGUGACUGCGUACCUUUUGUAUAAUGGGUCAGCGACUUAUAUUCUGUAGCAAGGUUAACCGAAUAGGGGAGCCGAAGGGAAACCGAGUCUUAACUGGGCGUUAAGUUGCAGGGUAUAGACCCGAAACCCGGUGAUCUAGCCAUGGGCAGGUUGAAGGUUGGGUAACACUAACUGGAGGACCGAACCGACUAAUGUUGAAAAAUUAGCGGAUGACUUGUGGCUGGGGGUGAAAGGCCAAUCAAACCGGGAGAUAGCUGGUUCUCCCCGAAAGCUAUUUAGGUAGCGCCUCGUGAACUCAUCUCCGGGGGUAGAGCACUGUUUCGGCAAGGGGGUCAUCCCGACUUACCAACCCGAUGCAAACUGCGAAUACCGGAGAAUGUUAUCACGGGAGACACACGGCGGGUGCUAACGUCCGUCGUGAAGAGGGAAACAACCCAGACCGCCAGCUAAGGUCCCAAAGUCAUGGUUAAGUGGGAAACGAUGUGGGAAGGCCCAGACAGCCAGGAUGUUGGCUUAGAAGCAGCCAUCAUUUAAAGAAAGCGUAAUAGCUCACUGGUCGAGUCGGCCUGCGCGGAAGAUGUAACGGGGCUAAACCAUGCACCGAAGCUGCGGCAGCGACGCUUAUGCGUUGUUGGGUAGGGGAGCGUUCUGUAAGCCUGCGAAGGUGUACUGUGAGGUAUGCUGGAGGUAUCAGAAGUGCGAAUGCUGACAUAAGUAACGAUAAAGCGGGUGAAAAGCCCGCUCGCCGGAAGACCAAGGGUUCCUGUCCAACGUUAAUCGGGGCAGGGUGAGUCGACCCCUAAGGCGAGGCCGAAAGGCGUAGUCGAUGGGAAACAGGUUAAUAUUCCUGUACUUGGUGUUACUGCGAAGGGGGGACGGAGAAGGCUAUGUUGGCCGGGCGACGGUUGUCCCGGUUUAAGCGUGUAGGCUGGUUUUCCAGGCAAAUCCGGAAAAUCAAGGCUGAGGCGUGAUGACGAGGCACUACGGUGCUGAAGUAACAAAUGCCCUGCUUCCAGGAAAAGCCUCUAAGCAUCAGGUAACAUCAAAUCGUACCCCAAACCGACACAGGUGGUCAGGUAGAGAAUACCAAGGCGCUUGAGAGAACUCGGGUGAAGGAACUAGGCAAAAUGGUGCCGUAACUUCGGGAGAAGGCACGCUGAUACGUAGGUGAAGCGACUUGCUCGUGGAGCUGAAAUCAGUCGAAGAUACCAGCUGGCUGCAACUGUUUAUUAAAAACACAGCACUGUGCAAACACGAAAGUGGACGUAUACGGUGUGACGCCUGCCCGGUGCCGGAAGGUUAAUUGAUGGGGUUAGCGGUAACGCGAAGCUCUUGAUCGAAGCCCCGGUAAACGGCGGCCGUAACUAUAACGGUCCUAAGGUAGCGAAAUUCCUUGUCGGGUAAGUUCCGACCUGCACGAAUGGCGUAAUGAUGGCCAGGCUGUCUCCACCCGAGACUCAGUGAAAUUGAACUCGCUGUGAAGAUGCAGUGUACCCGCGGCAAGACGGAAAGACCCCGUGAACCUUUACUAUAGCUUGACACUGAACAUUGAGCCUUGAUGUGUAGGAUAGGUGGGAGGCUUUGAAGUGUGGACGCCAGUCUGCAUGGAGCCGACCUUGAAAUACCACCCUUUAAUGUUUGAUGUUCUAACGUUGGCCCCUAAUCGGGGUUGCGGACAGUGUCUGGUGGGUAGUUUGACUGGGGCGGUCUCCUCCUAAAGAGUAACGGAGGAGCACGAAGGUUGGCUAAUCCUGGUCGGACAUCAGGAGGUUAGUGCAAUGGCAUAAGCCAGCUUGACUGCGAGCGUGACGGCGCGAGCAGGUGCGAAAGCAGGUCAUAGUGAUCCGGUGGUUCUGAAUGGAAGGGCCAUCGCUCAACGGAUAAAAGGUACUCCGGGGAUAACAGGCUGAUACCGCCCAAGAGUUCAUAUCGACGGCGGUGUUUGGCACCUCGAUGUCGGCUCAUCACAUCCUGGGGCUGAAGUAGGUCCCAAGGGUAUGGCUGUUCGCCAUUUAAAGUGGUACGCGAGCUGGGUUUAGAACGUCGUGAGACAGUUCGGUCCCUAUCUGCCGUGGGCGCUGGAGAACUGAGGGGGGCUGCUCCUAGUACGAGAGGACCGGAGUGGACGCAUCACUGGUGUUCGGGUUGUCAUGCCAAUGGCACUGCCCGGUAGCUAAAUGCGGAAGAGAUAAGUGCUGAAAGCAUCUAAGCACGAAACUUGCCCCGAGAUGAGUUCUCCCUGACUCCUUGAGAGUCCUGAAGGAACGUUGAAGACGACGACGUUGAUAGGCCGGGUGUGUAAGCGCAGCGAUGCGUUGAGCUAACCGGUACUAAUGAACCGUGAGGCUUAACCUU
rnacentral:rRNA from 1 species